rnacentral:rRNA from 1 species
UUGGAGGGCAAGUCUGGUGCCAGCAGCCGCGGUAAUUCCAGCUCCAAUAGCGUAUAUUAAAGUUGUUGCAGUUAAAAAAGCUCGUAGUUGAAUUUCGGGGUUAGUAGGUUGGUCAUGCCUCCGGUAUGUACUGGUCUCACUGAUUCCUCCUUCCUGAUGAACCGUAAUGCCAUUAAUUUGGUGUUGCGGGGAAUUUGGACUGUUACUUUGAAAAAAUUAGAGUGUUUAAAGCAAGCUAACGCUUGAAUACAUUAGCAUGGAAUAAUGAAAUAGGACG